UCACACAGCAAGUCUUAAUGCCUAAUUCAGAUUUUUUGCUCAGAUAGGGAUUUUUUGUUUGUCUGUUGACAUGACCUUUUAAAACGUGGCCUAUAUCAGAUUCCAGUGUGAACUGCUUGUGGUUUUGAACUGACCCACAUGUGCAAAAGAACAAUACCAAUGACAUCAGAUGCAGCACGCUGUUGCACUAAAGUUAGGGAGGUUAUGGAGGAAGGAAGCAUUUUACCUUUUAUUUCUAAAUGUUUGUGUAAUGGCAGCCGUAACAUUACUGAGCAGGUGCUGAGGAGGAGAAGAAUGAAGAGAAAGAGACUAAUUGGCUAUUUUGGUCUUUUGUGGGGUUAUGGUUGCAAAUUAACUACAUAUGUCUGUGUGACCGGAUGACCGAUUU